CCACUGUCGGCGAAUUUCUUUUAUAAGAUCAAGAGGGAGACAUGUAAUCUUACAUGAUCGAUCCUCCUUUCCAACCGCUUUCCAUUGAUCGAUCCAUUCCCUGAUAACCUCCCUUUUCUUUAUUCACAUCACAACUAAGACUGAUCCCACUCUGCUCACUGCUCGCCCAAAGUAAAUGAAAAUCUAACCCUCUUUAUUCUGGUAUAAAGUCAUUCUCAGAGCUCCAGCAUCUGACAGACACGUCUCCUCUCCUCCUCCUCUUCCUCCACCCUGCAAGUGAUAAUCAACGCUAUAGCAACAAUGGGUUCAUCCCCAAUUCCAAUUUCCCCAAGAAAACUUCGCUCUGAUCUCUACACCUUCUCGUCCCAAGAAGAUUCGACUUCAAGCACCCCUUUGGUCAUCUCUGUUCUUGCUUCUCUCCUCGAGAGAACCAUUGCUAGGAAUGAACGGAUUUCGGGAAAAUGCAGAUGGGCAUUGCCGAAAGAUGCUAGAAUUCAUGUCUUCGAAUGCUGCCAGGUGCCAAACAUGACAAUUCAGUCCUUUCUCGAGAGGAUUUUUCGCUACACUAGGGUUGCUUCCCCAGUUUACGUCGUUGCCUAUGUCUACAUUGAUCGCUUGUGCCAGAUCCAGCCUGAGUUUCGCAUCACCUCAAGCAAUGUAUAUAGGCUUCUCAUCACCACCAUCAUGGUGGCCUCCAAAUUUGUUGAAGACAUGAAUUAUAGGAAUUCGUACUUUGCGAAGGUUGGGGGAUUAACGACCAAGGAGAUGAACAAAUUAGAGGUUGAUUUUCUAUUCUUGAUGGGUUUCAGAUUGCACGUUAAUGUAAGCGUGUUUGAGAGCUAUUGCUGUCAUCUAGAGAGGGAAGUUAGCAUAGGAGGAGGAUACCAAAUAGAGAGGACUCUGAGGUCCAUGUGUUCCGGAGAUAUCAAAUCCGAAGGAGGAGGGGAAGAAAAUGAUCUCAACCAGCUUGCGCGUGUUAUCCGAUGCAGCUCAUAUUAGAAGCCCCUUUGUAACAUUUUUGCCUGCAACUGUCGGGCAGGAUAAACUCAUGUACAGAGAAUCGUAUACAAGAGUGUUACUUUGUUAUCCCCGUCAAUGAGGAAGGAAUUACUGCAAUUUUAUCUUGUGCAGAUAAUGUGCUUGCAAAAAUGGCUCAGGAGAUGUUGGAAGGUGUGAGCAGGGCUCAUGCAUGAUGAACUUGCAUAGAUGGCUGUCAGGGUGACUUGGUGAGUGCUUGGCUGCUUGUUAGGAAGGAUUUGGUCAUUUGGCACGUAGAACUAACAUGCAUUUCAGCUGGAAUACGGAAUGGACCAUAAACUUGAUAUAUGAACAAUGGAAUUAACUCCCUGGAGAAUCCAUAACUCCACCUACAAGAGGAAACUUUUUGUCCAAAUGAUAGUUUCUUAUGUUAAAGAUUUCCUUUCUUUCUUGAGGAGUAAAAUUUGGAACUCAAAUGUGGGGAGUAAAAUUUUACUCUUGUACAGUUUUUAUUCAUUUGGUUCACUCAAAUUUUAUUUGGUCAAUCCGUGAAAAUCAA